rnacentral:lncRNA from 1 species
CUUGCCUGCCUGCCGCAUAGACAAAUAUGGUCAUAAUAUUCAUAAUUGUUACGUAUUUCUCUAGAAUGAGUGAACUAUACCUUAGAAAGCUCAAGGACAGCCUGGAAUUGAAUACAUGAAGUAGUGGGCUUAAAAAAAGAAAAAUAAAAAGCCAGAAAACCUUGCAAAUUUCAAUACUAGGAGAAUAAAAGUACUUCAGAAAGGAAAUCGAGCAUUUGGUGGGCAUAGUUUGGCCCCUAGUGGAUAGUAAUUCUCAUUGUCACAUUGAAUUGGUAGCCUGUACUUAAGCAAAAGCCAGGACAAAAUAACCCUGGGCACUAAAUUACUUCAGCUUUGGAGAUGAAGCUUGUUUCAAGCCAUACCUGAGAUGAAUUUGCAGUCUACUGACAGAACUGGAAACUAAACAUUUGCCUUCUCAGCAGGACUGCCAAUAUAUUGAAAAUCCACAUCCAGAAAAUGAAUCCUCUUCUCUUAAGCUACAAAAUGUCCAUCUGAAUUGAAAGGGCUGGGAGGUGCACAGAGUGAACUCUUGGAGCUGCAGCAAGACCUUGGAUGCAGAUGUACCAUUGGCUGUGGGCAGGCAGCACUCCCCACGCACAAAGGAAACAUGUCUCAGGGUGCCCAGGACAGAAGGACCACAGAGCAUUCAGACUUGCUCAUCAGGUAGUAACAACACUUCCAGCUACACCAAACGUGAUUUUUGAAUAAACACCGGACUGAGAUCAUUGGAAAUGAUUGACAGCUUAUAAACCACGCUUUUCAGAAACCAGCAAGGAAAGGGGAAAAAAAAAAUAAUAAAAAAAUCUUUCCCUCCUUCUAAUGUUUCA